UACGAAGGGGGGCUAGCGUUGCUCGGAAUCACUGGGCGUAAAGCGCACGUAGGCGGCUUCUUAAGUCAGGGGUGAAAUCCUGGAGCUCAACUCCAGAACUGCCUCUGAUACUGAGGAGCUCGAGUCCGGGAGAGGUGAGUGGAACUCCGAGUGUAGAGGUGAAAUUCGUAGAUAUUCGGAAGAACACCAGUGGCGAAGGCGGCUCACUGGCCCGGUACUGACGCUGAGACGCGAAAGCGUGGGGAGCGAACAGG
rnacentral:rRNA from 1 species